UGUGUAGGCGGUUCUUUAAGUUUGGUGUGAAAUCUCCCGGCUCAACCGGGAGGGUGCGCCGAAUACUGAGGGACUAGGGUGCGGGAGAGGAAAGUGGAAUUCCUGGUGUAGCGGUGAAAUGCGUAGAUAUCAGGAGGAACACCGGUGGUGUAGACGGCUUUCUGGACCGUAACUGACGCUGAGACACGAAAGCGUGGGUAGCAAACAGGAUUAGAUACCCUGGUAGUCCACGCCCUAAACGAUGCAUAUUUGGUGUGGGUCAUUCAGUUGAUCCGUGCCGGAGCUAACGCGUUAAAUAUGCCGCCUGGGGAGUACAGUCGCAAGGCUGAA
rnacentral:rRNA from 1 species